CCGCGCCCCAGCUGCAUUUCCGCCCGCUCUGGGAGGGAGGGUGGGUUUCUUUUGGUUCCUGCCGCCUCCCCGAGCGGUCCCGAACCUUCCAGCACCGUGCCGCACCUUCUCCGCGUCGUUCCCUUUGACCCCCGCCGACAACAGUCCCGGCGCCCCGGGCCGUGCGAGCUCUGCGGCUGUCUUGGAAGCAGAUGGAGACUGUCCCUUGGACGGCUUUGCGGGCCGAGCCGCAGGCAGCACCCCUUUCUGCCCCGCAGGACCGUGGUCCGCAGCGCCAGAUGCCCCCCCACCCCCGUGUGCAGGGCUGAGGCCUGCUGGAUGUCUCCUGUCACCUGGUGCGAACGUCGUGCUCCCUGGUAGUGGAGGCAGAGGAUUCGGGGAAGGGUUGUCCUGUGUUUGGAGGGUGCACGUCCUCACCUUCCAGGAGUUUGCCCACAUUCCAUCCUGUCCGCAGACACCUUGGGCCUCCAGGGCCCCGGGGGCAGUUGUGUGUGCAUGA
rnacentral:lncRNA from 1 species